CCAAUAGCGUAUAUUAAAGUUGUUGCAGUUAAAAAGCUCGUAGUUGAAUUUCGGGGUCAGUAGGUUGGUCAUGCCACUGGUAUGUACUGGUCUCACUGAUUCCUCCUUCCUGAUGAACCGUAAUGCCAUUAAUUUGGUGUUGCGGGGAGACUGGACUGUUACUUUGAAAAAAUUAGAGUGUUUAAAGCAGGCUAACGCUUGAAUACAUUAGCAUGGAAUAAUGAAAUAGGACGUUCGAUCCUAUUUUGUUGGUUUCUAGGAUUGACGUAAUGAUUAAUAGGGAUAGUUGGGGGCAUUAGUAUUCAAUUGUCAGAGGUGAAAUUCUUGGAUUUAUUGAAGACUAACUACUGCGAAAGCAUUUGCCAAGGAUGUUUUCAUUAAUCAAGAACGAAAGUUAGGGGACCGAAGACGAUCAGAUACCGUCGUAGUCUUAACCAUAAACUAUGCCGACUAGGGAUCGGAUGAUGUUAAUUUUAUAAUGACUCAUUCGGCGCCUUACG
rnacentral:rRNA from 1 species